rnacentral:lncRNA from 1 species
UCUGAUGACUUCUUUAGAUAUUGCUUUCUUCAUGCUUCUUAGAUUAAGAUGACCAAGCUUUUGGUGCCAUAGUUUUACUUCAUCUUCUUUAGUGAUUAAGCAUGUUGACAUAUUUGCUUCUUCUUGGGGAACCCAUAGAUAGCAGUUGUCUUUUGAUCUGACACCUUUCAUCAAAAUCUCACCUUCGUUAUUUGUAACCAAACAUUUAGACUUGGUGAAGUUUACUUUCAGUCCUUGGUCGCAUAGUUGACUAAUACUUAUCAAAUUUGCAGUCAAUCCUCUUACUAACAGCACAUUGUUUAGUUUAGGCAAGCUAUUACUUCUGAGCUCCCCUAUCCCAACAAUUUCUCCUUUUACACCAUCACCAAAGGUUACAAAGCUGGUU